AUUGAACGCUGGCGGCAUGCCUUACACAUGCAAGUCGAACGGCAGCACGGGUGCUUGCACCUGGUGGCGAGUGGCGAACGGGUGAGUAAUACAUCGGAACGUACCUUAUCGUGGGGGAUAACGCAGCGAAAGCUGUGCUAAUACCGCAUACGAUCUACGGAUGAAAGCGGGGGAUCGCAAGACCUCGCGCGAUUGGAGCGGCCGAUAUCAGAUUAGGUAGUUGGUGAGGUAAAGGCUCACCAAGCCGACGAUCUGUAGCUGGUCUGAGAGGACGACCAGCAACACUGGGACAGAGACACGGCCCAGACUCCUACGGGAGGCAGCAGUGGGAAUUUUGGACAAUGGACGCAAGGCUGAUCCAGCCAUUCCGCGUGCAGGACGAAGGCCUUCGGGUUGUAAACUGCUUUUGUACAGAACGAAAAGGUCUCUACUAAUACUAGGGGCUCAUGACGGUACUGUAAGAAUAAGCACCGGCUAACUACGUGCCAGCAGCCGCGGUAC
rnacentral:rRNA from 1 species